UGGGGAAUUUUGGACAAUGGGGGAAACCCUGAUCCAGCCAUCCCGCGUGUGCGAUGAAGGCCUUCGGGUUGUAAAGCACUUUUGGCAGGAAAGAAACGUCAUGGGUUAAUACCCCGUGAAACUGACGGUACCUGCAGAAUAAGCACCGGCUAACUACGUGGCAGCAGCCGCGGUAAUACGUAGGGUGCAAGCGUUAAUCGGAAUUACUGGGCGUAAAGCGUGCGCAGGCGGUUCGGAAAGAAAGAUGUGAAAUCCCAGAGCUCAACUUUGGAACUGCAUUUUUAACUACCGGGCUAGAGUGUGUCAGAGGGAGGUGGAAUUCCGCGUGUAGCAGUGAAAUGCGUAGAUAUGCGGAGGAACACCGAUGGCGAAGGCAGCCUCCUGGGAUAACACUGACGCUCAUGCACGAAAGCGUGGGGAGCAAACAGG
rnacentral:rRNA from 1 species